GUAGGGAAUUUUUUGGCAAUGGGGGAAAAUCGGGAGGAGCACAUCCGGGUGAUGAAGAAGGUUUUCUUGUUUGUAAAACUCUGUUUUCAGGGAAGAAUGUGCAGUAUGUUAAUAGUUGAUGUAAUGACG
rnacentral:rRNA from 1 species